CCGAGUUUACAACUCCCAAACCCCUGUGAACAUACCACUUGUUGCCUCGGCGGAUCAGCCCGCUCCCGGUAAAACGGGACGGCCCGCCAGAGGACCCCUGAACUCUGUUUCUAUAUGUAACUUCUGAGUAAAACCAUAAAUAAAUCA
rnacentral:misc_RNA from 1 species